rnacentral:rRNA from 1 species
AUUGAACGCUGGCGGCAGGCCUAACACAUGCAAGUCGAGCGGAUGAGGAAAGCUUGCUUUUCGAUUCAGCGGCGGACGGGUGAGUAAUGCCUAGGAACCUACCUGUUAGUGGGGGAUAACUCGGGGAAACUCGGGCUAAUACCGCAUACGUCCUACGGGAGAAAGUGGGGGAUCUUCGGACCUCACGCUAACAGAUGAGCCUAGGUCGGAUUAGCUAGUAGGUGAGGUAAUGGCUCACCUAGGCGACGAUCCGUAACUGGUCUGAGAGGAUGAUCAGUCACACUGGAACUGAGACACGGUCCAGGCUCCUACGGGAGGCAGCAGUGGGGAAUAUUGGACAAUGGGCGAAAGCCUGAUCCAGCCACGCCGCGUGUGUGAAGAAGGUCUUCGGAUUGUAAAGCACUUUAAGUUGGGAGGAAGGGUAUUCACCUAAUACGUGGGUACUUUGACGUUACCAACAGAAUAAGCACCGGCUAACUCUGUGCCAGCAGCCGCCGUAACAC